UCCUAGUAACGUUAGCCUACAUGUGGAACGAAAGUGAUCGUGCAUGAGAAAUCAAAACAAAAGAAAAUCUGUUGCAUUUUAUACAUUUACGUUUUCAAAGGACACGAUUUUAGCAGUGUUAUAAAUAUACGUGUGCUGCGCUCAGCCUUCGAUAUAUCAGUUACUUUUUAAUUGUUUUCGUGUAUCCUGUACAUUACAUUUCAUCCUCCCUCCCUUUGAAGCAGAAAUGUCCCAGGAGAGUCUACAUGGCAGGUGGUCCAUAUCUGAUAGUGAGGAUGAGGACAACAUAAUACCACCAACCCCCCAAAAGACUUCAAUCACACCAAGCAUUAAACCAGAUAUAGGAAGCAAACCAAACAACAUCACCACCUUUCUGAAACAAGAGCCGAAGCAGAGUCCAAAUAAGAAAGCUGAGGAAGGAACCCUUAAUGUAAAAGAAGCGUCUGCUCCCUCCAUUGGAUCUGAAGCUAGAAAAGCAGCACAUGUGAACCAAACAAAGCCUGCGAAGUUUGAAAGCAAGGUAUCGCCUUCUGUAAAGCGAAAAAGAGAAACAGACGAGGGGGGUUGGAACCUCUCUGACAGUGACGAUGAAGCUUCACCACCACCUGUUGCAAAAGAUGAAGCCAAGAAAUUGAAUGUAAGUCCUAAAAGGAAGAAAACCGAAGACACACGUCCUCCGAGCCCUCACGGCACCGGUUAUUAUAAAGAAGAACCUGCUGAUUUCUUUGAAACCAACUUAUUAUCUAUGAAUGACAUGUACCGCUUUUAUUUAAAUAAAGUCAGUGGGAUACAGAAGAAGUUCAACACUGGAGCACUGCAUAUAAAAGAGAUACUUUCUCCUAUGUUCGGGACGCUAAAAGAGUCUGUGCAGUUCAAUUACUGCUUUGACAUUCCAUGGAUGGUGGAGCAGUAUCCUCUAGAAUUUAGGGACAAACCCGUCAUAAUCGUUCAUGGAGACAAAAGAGAGGCCAAGGCUCGAUUACUUGAGCAAGCAAAACCGUAUCCACACAUUCGUUUCUGCCAGGCCAAACUGGACAUUGCAUUUGGCACACAUCACACGAAAAUGAUGCUGCUGUGGUACGAGGAAGGAUUCAGAGUCAUCAUUCUUACCUCCAACCUCAUUCGAGCCGAUUGGUACCAGAAGACUCAGGGGAUGUGGAUGAGUCCGCUGUACCCCAGGUUACCGGAGGGAAGUCCGGGAACAGCAGGGGAGUCUCCCACCAACUUUAAAAGAGACAUGCUGGAAUACCUGGAAGCAUACCGGGCUCCAGAGCUCGCAGACUGGAUCGAGCGCAUCAAACAGCAUGAUCUCUCAGAAACAAGGGUGUAUCUCAUUGGUUCAACUCCAGGAAGAUAUCAAGGACCUGCCAUGGAAAAGUGGGGCCAUUUAAGAUUGCGAAAGCUGCUCAGCGAACACACACGUCCCAUUCCGAAUGAAGAACGGUGGGCUGUGAUUGGUCAGUUUUCCAGUAUCGGCUCUAUGGGACUUGAUAAGACUAAAUGGCUGGCAGCUGAGUUCCAGCAUACCCUGACCACGCUGGGGAGAGCAGAGAAAUCAUUACCCAGCUCACAACCACAGAUGCUCCUGAUUUAUCCAUCUGUGGAAAAUGUGAGAACCAGUUUAGAGGGUUAUCCAGCUGGGGGAUCUUUACCGUACAGUAUACAGACCGCACAAAAACAACUCUGGCUUCACUCAUACUUCCACGGUUGGCAUGCUGAUGUCACCGGUAGGAGCAACGCGAUGCCCCACAUUAAAACAUACAUGAGGGUAUCACCAGACUUCACACAACUGGCCUGGUUCCUUGUUACAAGUGCCAAUUUGUCCAAAGCUGCCUGGGGCGCGCUGGAGAAGAACAACACCCAGAUGAUGGUGCGUUCCUAUGAGCUGGGAGUUCUCUACCUGCCUUCAGCCUUUAACAUGAGCACAUUUCCUGUGGAGAAGAAUGUGUUUCGUGGCUCUGCCUCUUCCAAGGGUUUCCCUGUGCCCUUUGACCUCCCACCCCAGCGCUACUCCAGCAAAGAUCAGCCUUGGAUCUGGAACAUUCCAUAUACUCAGGCUCCAGAUACUCAUGGAAAUGUAUGGGUGCCUUCUUGAGAAGAUCAGACCCUUGAGGUCAUUUGCAUUAAAUCAAAUUAACAUGGAAGUCAGACCAUAUGAGUCUUUAAGCCACUUUAAUGAACCCAUGACGGCAAUGGUAGAAACAUCAGGGGUGAUCUCUUUCAAGGGACGUCUUCGCUGCAACAGUUUAGGGCUUCAGGAAUGCAAGUCACGCCAUAACUGGAGGAAUAAUCCCAGCACAGCUCAAUUAUGGGAUGGACAUGAUCUGGAAGAGAGCACACAGUCUUUUUACUUACUUUUUACUCUUCUCAAGGUAUGAACUGAUCUUGGCUACGUGAAUUUAUCUGUGUGAUUAUGUGAAACUGUGGCCAGCACUUGCAUGCAUAUUUGGUCAUUAAUAUCCAGGGAAAAACUUGAUAUUGUUUAAUACUGCAAGUGUUGACUACCCUUGAGCUGUAUUGCAAUGAUUGGAACUUACCUGUCUGAGACGCUGCAUCCACUUUUCGCACAAGUUUGCGCCUAGAGGUGCCGUCAGAGGGGGACAUGUACUCCUGCUUGAUGGCAGGAGGUUGGGUGCAUUUGUUGGUUACCUGUAAAAUCAAAAUAAGCAAGUGACGGAACAUAAAAAUAAAAAAGGUUUCAGCACCGAACGUCUCUCCUCCUGAAUGCUCUCUCGGAAGGUGCACUCGUGGCCGGGAUACAGAGGACAUAUCUUGCAAGGUUGCUCAGAGCAGGGAACUGGGAACGAUGUGAAUUCCACCAUUGCAAAACUUUUUGUUGACUUGAUAGUUCAAGUUGCAUGGUCCUGUACUCCUGAAUCUGCACAUCGAGGGAUUUUGAUCCACAUGAUUCUUCAUCAUCCUCCCAAUCUGAAAAUUUACGGAGAACAGUAGGCCUUUUGGCCGGUGUUGGCUCAACAUCCUCAUCAUGCGUAUCAAACUUUAAAUCUUCGAUCAUCUCCUUGACUCCCUGUAUCACCUUCUGUCGCCCUCUUUCAUCCAACAUUUUCAAACCUCGCAGAUUUGGUGUCA